UUCUCCAGGUCAAUGGAUGCUGAAGCAAGCGCAUGUCAGCACAUCCAGAUCACAGUCCCAAGAAAAUGUGGCUCCGAUAUAGGGCUGUGUGAUAAAUCGUUGAAUGCCAGAUGAUGCGACUUCAAGGCACCCAGCUACCCACAAAAGAGGCUGCCUGCUGUAACUCUGCACGAGACCAAGUUCUGGCCUUCUAAGAACAGUGACUCAUGCAGAAACACUGGGGUUGGACUCAUCUGAAGGAAGGAGAGACAGCAAAUAUUUUGUGGGUCUCCGUCCACCUGGCUUGGCGCUACCAGCUCCACCAUAUUCCCCAUGCAGCCAAGUUGCUCCUCUUCCCUCACUCCUACACCACAACACCUGCACAAUUCCUUUGGUGUCUACUCACUGCAAGGAAACAUUCGAAAUCCAUCCAAUUUCCUUGAAAGCAGCCUAUCCUUUUGACAUUGCAAAGCCAAAGUCCCUCCUUGUCAUCUCAUCACAAUCUUUGGAGUCUCUUCUUCACCCUCAGUAAAUCAGAAGAACUUUAAGUGCUUCCAGACUGUUGCUAUUCUGGGGUGGCGUUCAAUCAUAUGCCAGAAAAUUUGGGUUAUGAAUUUAUGGUUUAUUGCAUGACUUUCCCAGAAGAUGGGACUUUUUGCUUGAAGGAAAGUGAUGAGGAAAUUCAAGGAAAAUAAAACCUGCUUUGCUAUGA